AACGAACGCUGGCGGCGUACUUAACACAUGCAAGUCGGACGAGAAAGGAGACUUCGGUCUCUGAGUAAAGUGGCGCACGGGUGCGUAACACGUAAGUAAUCUACCCCGAACUCUGGGAUAACCCUCCGAAAGGAGGGCUAAUACUGGAUAGGGUCCCCGAGGUGUAGGCUGCGGGGGGAAAACGGGCCUCUGUUUCAUGCUCGUGGUUUGGGAUGAGCUUGCGGCCCAUUAGCUUGUUGGCAGGGUAACGGCCUACCAAGGCUACGAUGGGUAGCUGGUCUGAGAGGAUGAUCAGCCACACUGGCACUGAGACACGGGCCAGACUCCUACGGGAGGCAG
rnacentral:rRNA from 1 species